AUCCAGCUGCCUACUUUUUCCCGUGAGUCAGCUCCAUUCAGAUUGUGGGAGAAGAGAACAAGAAGUCAACAAGAAGCAAACGCUCCUUGUGAGCCAGCAUCAUAUGUGGACCACUGAGGGGACAUCCAGACCCCAGCCCCUUUCAGUAUGCAGGCUGGGAUACAAGAAGAGCUAACAUUUCCCCUCCCCCACCGCUCUAAGCAACCAGCUGAUCUGGAGAAACACAAGCUGUGAUGAGAGCUAUUGAGGCAGUAAAGGAGACGGAGAUCUAUGAUCAAAGCUUCUGGGAGACUUUGGAGGACUUGUGGAUGUUAUCCAGGAAGAAUAGGAAGGCUGAUUCAAGAUAAGUUAAAUAAGUAUAUUUUGGUAAAAUAUGUUCUAUUACAACUACACUGUACAGUAUCUGCUAAAAGUAGUUAGAUAAUUCAUUUUUCUCUUAACCCUUAUGCCAUUUUCUGAUGAGGAAACUAAUAUUUUCCUUGACUGAGUCCAUCAAUAUACUAAAAAUAUUGAUAAAGGUGUAGGAUGUGUUUGUUGACAAUGACUCACUUCAAGUGCAUCUGGGCCACCAUGGUAGGUGUCUCUGUCUUACAGGGAGAUGGCUUGAUAAAGUUUCAAAAUUUUAUAAAACAACUACAAAGUACCAUUGACACUUUCAAACUUGCUAAGGGUUAAUGUAUCUCAAUGGACAAUAAAUGGGUAUAGGGUCCUGAUCUAGAUCCCCAAUCUCCCAAACAAGUGUACAGCGAAGGCUUAAUUAAAAUGAGACAAGUGGUGUGAUUUUAGGGAUGCAGGAGGGUCAAAACGCUUUAGUUGAGCUCAAGACUCCGAGGGCUAAGACGAAGACUUCUCUGGACCACCAAUUUUUAAUAGGUCCAACAACAAAGGGCGGGAAACUGAGGAAGGUGCAGGCAAUGAGCAGGACCUUGGGAAUAUCUUCAAAGACUUCUCCAAGUAUUAAAUUAUGCCAAUUUAGGAGAACCACCAUUUUAUCUACAGAAUGACAUUUAUGAUAGGAUUGAGACUGCAGGAGUGAAAUUUCUUCAGUUACAGUCUCUAUUCGCUUAAUUAAUGUUGGAGCCAAGGUCUCCUCAGCUAUGGCCUUCUCUUACCCUUUGAGGUAUCUCUAGCCUCACUGGCUACUACUGGCCUCAUCCAGGACCAGUGAUUCGUAGAGCUUCACUUACUGUGAAUCAGCUCCUAUCGCCAGGCAAGGAGCUGAGGCCUAGGACAGACUCACAGAUAAACAUAGAAAGUCAAUCAGUUAAUUUUAAAUCCUGCUUAGAGCCGCUUCUUAGUGGUCUCCAACAAAUAAGGCCAUGGGUAGAAAUUUUUUCUAGCCACAAUUCAUAUGCAGAUAUAAAAAAUAUAGACUUUUGGAUUUACCCCACACUCCAAGAUAAAAGUUAAUCAGCAAUUCAUGGAUAAAUAUUUGCAGAUCUGGUAUGAAUGUAUUUGGCUUGGCAUUUAUUAUGAAACAGUUCAGCCAACUCACACCUCUUCGUUGGGAAAAAACCCCAUGCUUUAUGAUAAAUGAAAUAAUAUCACUUGAAAUAAGAGAUACAUUCCUAUUCGGAGUUGAAACCUCCUGCAGUCUCUUCAGAGUCUGUAUAGUCUUCCUGCAGACUCUUACCAUGUUAAGAGAUACUGACUUGUUUGCUACUGGUAGGAAGGCAAAGGCUGGAAUAAGAUGGCCAUCCCCAAAUGAUACCUAGUGCUGUAGCAUAAACUUAUGGUCUUGAUUGCCUCCAGGAUGAGUAGGAAGAUACACAUUAGGGACCCAUGUGUACAAAGGUACUACGUUAAAACCAUAGACCAAGCAUCCAACCUCCUAACAUUUAUGACACUGAUGGGACACAUCAGUAUUUGGCCUAUAUGAUCAUAGAGAUAAUCAUUUGGCUUUGGCUUUAUACCACAAAUAGAAUUUAAGAUUGUAAUGAAACAUACUGAAUCUCUUACAAAAUAUACCCAAAAGAUUCCCAAUAACACCACAGAAGAUGUUUCAUUACUAAAUUCAGAAGAGAAAAUGAUGAGAAAAGCCAUUUUGCAAAGCCAAAUAACCCUACAUAUUCUAACAGCAGCAAGAGGUGGAAACUGUACCAUUAUCAAAACAGAAUGUCAUUUGUAGAUCCUGACAGCUCCUCAUAGGUAUCUUCUGCAUUAUAAGAUCUGCAUUCACAGGUCAGUGCAAUGUCAGACUCUGUUGAAACAUCGAUGACUGGCUAGUGUCCUUGUUCUUGUGAAAAAUGUUUUUGUAUCUCUGGCUAUGAUAAUGCAUAUUAUCACUCUUUUCAGUUGUUUGAUUUAUUAUUGUUGGCUAAUGUCUUUUACGUCCUUGCCCUCUCUUUCAGACUAUCAAAGAGUGAUGAUUUGUUUAAUCUCAACAUGAAUGAAGAUAUAGAUAACUGCAUUUUGUCUUCUUGCAUUAGAUUUGAUGGUAUGGACAGCUGUUCCAAAGAUAGCAGGAUAUAUUAUGAGCACAAAUCAGGGAGAACAAGGAAGGAAGUUAAGCCGCAACUUGUGAGCCAUUUGAAGCACAGACUGGAGAGAACAAGGAAGGGAGCUAAGUUCCUGCCAGUGAGCUGUGGAGAGUGUGGGCCAGGAGAGGAGAGCAUCCCCCACUCACAUCUGGCAACCAGCUGAUUUGGAGGAACUGUGCUAUUCAAUGGAUUUUGCAAGCCUAAAGCCAAGCAACUAUUUACAGGACAGCAAUAUGCAAUAUAGUAAGUAUUGUAUGUUUCCUACUGUCUUAUCAUUGUAUUAAUUCAUUUUAUU